AUUGAACGCUGGCGGCAUGCUUUACACAUGCAAGUCGAACGGCAGCACGGGCUUCGGCCUGGUGGCGAGUGGCGAACGGGUGAGUAACAUAUCGGAACGUACCCCGUCGUGGGGGAUAACACAGCGAAAGCUGUGCUAAUACCGCAUACGACCUGAGGGUGAAAGCGGGGGAUCGCAAGACCUCGCGCGAUGGGAGCGGCCGAUAUCGGAUUAGCUUGUUGGUGAGGUAAAGGCUCACCAAGGCGACGAUCCGUAGCUGGUCUGAGAGGACGACCAGCCACACUGGAACUGAGACACGGUCCAGACUCCUACGGGAGGCAGCAGUGGGGAAUUUUGGACAAUGGGGGCAACCUGAUCCAGCCAUUCCGCGUGAGUGAAG
rnacentral:rRNA from 1 species